rnacentral:rRNA from 1 species
GUAUAAGAGACAGCAGCAGCCACGGUAAUACGAAGGGUGCAAGCGUUACUCGGAAUUACUGGGCGUAAAGCGUGCGUAGGUGGUGGUUUAAGUCCGUUGUGAAAGCCCUGGGCUCAACCUGGGAAUUGCAGUGGAUACUGGGUCACUAGAGUGUGGUAGAGGAUAGUGGAAUUUCCGGUGUAGCAGUGAAAUGCGUAGAGAUCGGAAGGAACAUCUGUGGCGAAGGCGACUAUCUGGGCCAACACUGACACUGAGGCACGAAAGCGUGGGGAGCAAACAGGAUUAGAUACCCCUGUAGUCCCUGUCUCUUAUAC